CAAGGGUGAUGCAAGCGUUAACCGGAAUCACUGGGCGUAAAGCGUCUGUAGGUGGUGAUGCAAGUCACUGGUGCAAAACUCUGGCUCAAACGGAGGAAAGCCAGUGAAACUGCAUGACUAGAGUGUGGGAGAGGUAGAAGGAAUUCCCUGAGUAGCGGGGAAAUGCGUAGAUACAGGGAAGAACACCGGAGGCGAAAGCGUUCUACUGGAACACAACUGACACUGAGAGACGAAAGCUAGGGGAGCGAAUGGG
rnacentral:rRNA from 1 species